rnacentral:rRNA from 1 species
AACGAACGCUGGCGGCAUGCCUAACACAUGCAAGUCGAACGAGGCCUUCGGGUCUAGUGGCGCACGGGUGCGUAACGCGUGGGAACCUGCCCUUAGGUUCGGAAUAACUCCCCGAAAGGGGUGCUAAUACCGGAUAAUGUCUUCGGACCAAAGAUUUAUCGCCUUUGGAUGGGCCCGCGUUGGAUUAGCUAGUUGGUAGGGUAAAAGCCUACCAAGGCGACGAUCCAUAGCUGGUCUGAGAGGAUGAUCAGCCACACUGGGACUGAGACACGGCCCAGACUCCUACGGGAUGCAGCAGUGGGUAAUAUUGGACAAUGGGCGAAAGCCUGAUCCAGCAAUGCCGCGUGAGUGAUGAAGGCCUUAGGGUUGUAAAGCUCUUUUACCCGGGAUGAUAAUGACAGUACCGGGAGAAUAAGCUCCGGCUAACUCCGUG